rnacentral:rRNA from 1 species
CAGAACGAACGCUGGCGGCGUGCUUAACACAUGCAAGUCGAACGCGAAAGGGACUUCGGUCCUGAGUAAAGUGGCGCACGGGUGAGUAACGCGUAGAUAACCUGUCUUCAUGUCUGGAAUAAUACGCCGAAAGGGGUACUAAUACCGGAUAUUCUUGCUUUUCAUAAGCUAUGCAAGCAAAGGUGGCCUCUGCAUAUGCUACUGCAUGAAGAGGGGUCUGCGUACCAUUAGCUAGUAGGUGGGGUAAUGGCCUACCUAGGCGACGAUGGUUAGCGGGUCUGAGAGGAUGAUCCGCCACACUGGCACUGGAACACGGGCCAGACUCCUACGGGAGGCAGCAGUGAGGAAUAUUGCGCAAUGGGGGAAACCCUGACGCAGCGACGCCGCGUGAGUGAGGAAGGCCUUCGGGUCGUAAAGCUCUGUCAAGAGGAAAGAAGUGUACAAUGGCUAAUACCUGUUGUAUUUGACGGUACCUCUAAAGGAAGCACCGGCUAACUCCGUGCCAGCCGCCGC